ensembl:lncRNA LINC00558 long intergenic non-protein coding RNA 558
AGAAUGUUUUGGCUAUUCAGAACCUUUGUGGUUCAAGAAAAGUUUUAGGAUUUUUUAAAUAUCUGUGAGAAAAUGCUAUUGGGAUUUUGAUAGUUAUUGUACUGGAUCUUACUUCAGUCUUGACUUACAUAGGCUGGAAGUAAAAGGAUGGAAAAAAGAGUCUCCACACAAAGUUUCUGUAGGUCAGACAUCCAGCAAGGAGUUUCUGGGUUCUUUGCUCUGGGUUUUAGGAGAGUGAAUUCGAGAUGUGAGCCAGACCAAGUUCUAAUUUGUAAACUCUGAAGAAAAGUUAUUGUCCAAGGUAUUUUGUGGUGAAGAUGAACUCUAGAAUCAGGUACUGCAAUUUGAAUGCUGGCUCCACAACUGAUAAGCCGGAUCCACACAGCGUGACAUGUGCUUGUGAAAGGAACUCAUCUGGUCGAAGUUCUCCUGCCCUUAUGCCAUGCAGAGUUCAGCUGGAAUUUGAAGCUUGAGUAGUGUUUCUUUUCAAAGGCCAUUAACUGUCCAUGAUAACAUAAAGUUAUUAUGAACUGUAACAUUCCAUUCAUCCUGGACUGUUGACUGAUCACACGUCUAAUUUCAUAGUAACACAAUAGGUCACAACAGUUAUUUUAUUUACUAAUUCAGAGAUUAGAUUGGUUUAAGUUGAAUAUCAAAUUGCCAGGUCAUAAUAAAAUGAUUUUUUAAAAGAA